AACACCUUCAAAAUUUGAAACAAGCAAAAUACAAUGAUGAUGAAGCAGUUCAAACAGUUUUCGAAAAGGAGAGACAUGGUAGAGUUCGUUUCUAUGGUCGAUCAGUCACAAAAUCCUCUCUUAAAAAGGAUAAGGAAAUCCGACAAAUGCAACAACAACAUAAUGAAGUGGUUUCAACUAUGGAGAAAAAUCAAAAUAACUUAACUUUCAAGUUGGAUGGUUUAACAAACUUAAUUAAAACGUUGUUGCAACAAGUCAAUCCUGGUAUGAGUGCAGAACAAGUGCAAAUAAUGAUAAAAUCUGCCCAACAAUCUCCACCUGACGCGAGUAGUGCACUAAAUGAUGCGCGGCGAAACAUUCCUCCUUCACUUGGAUCGAACCAUGUAUCAAAGGAUAUGGAAGAAGACAUGAUGUGAUGAAGAAAAUAUGUUCCAUACAAAUAUCACAUGGGAUGGGUCUUACAAUGACCUUAGUUAUGUAAAUGUAAUAUUUUGAUGUGUUGUGUACUUUUUGAGGUAUUACAUGUAAUUAGAAAAAUUACACUCUAUUUUGAUUUGUGUUGUUUAGACUAAAAAUUAAACAUAUCUAUCUUAUAAUGAAACUUUUAUGAUUUAGAUUU